rnacentral:rRNA from 1 species
CAAAAACAUGUCUUUUUGAGUUAUUUUUAAAGUCUAACCUGCCCAAUGAAAUAUUUUUAAUGGCCGCAGUAAUUUGACUGUGCAAAGGUAGCAUAAUAAUUAGUCUUUUANUUGAAGGCUUGUAUGAAUGGUUGGACGAAGUAUAAUCUGUUUCAUUUAAAUUUAUUAUAGAAUUUUAUAUUUUAGUAAAAAAGCUAAAAUUUUUUUAAAAGACGAGAAGACCCUAUAAAUCUUUAUAAUUUAUAUUUAUAUAUAUACAUAUUGAUUUAUUUUAUUUUAAUAAUUUAGAUUAUUUUAUUGGGGUGAUAUUAAAAUUUAAAUAACUUUUAAUUUUUUUUUAACAUUAAUUUAUGAUUUAUUGAUCCAUUAAUAGUGAUUAUAAGAAUAAGUUACUUUAGGGAUAACAGCGUAAUUUUUUUGGAGAGUUCUUAUUGAUAAAAAAGUUUGCGACCUCGAUGUUGGAUUAAGAUAUAAUUUUAGGUGUAGUUGCUUAAAUAANAANNCNGUUCGACUUUUAAAUUCUUACAUGANCUGAGUCCAAACCGGA